CAGUUUUUUCCUUGAUUCUUUGUUGGAAUGCUCACUGAAUUACCCGGCAUUGAUCCUUGACGUCAUUGUGGUGACUGCGUCACACCCGCAACCCUAGCGGGCAGGGAGUGCUGUGUUUGGGGGAUCUGCACCUGCACUCCCCUUCUGCUGUCCUUUCUUCCCUGUAGCCUCGCUUGCUUUUGCAUUUGCACUUCUCUUAGGCUCUUGGUUCUUCCCUGUAUUCUCCCUGCUUUUCCGUCUGCAUUCUCACUCUUUUCCUGUUUUUUCUCUUCUGCUUCUCUUCUGCUGUUCUAUCCUCUGUGUAUCCUCACUGCUCUUUCAUCUCUAUCCUUGCUCUUCAGUGUUUUUUUCCCCUGCUUCCUCUCCGUACUUCAUCUGCCCUGCUUUUCUUCCCUGUAACGUGACGUCUCUUUUCUUCUGCAUCUGCUCUCCUCCUCCUCUUUCUUCCCUGUAUUCUCACUGCUCAUUCUCGUGCAGCUGUGCUCCUCUUCUGCUGUUCUUUCCUCCUUGUAUCCUCACUCUUCUGAUGGUUUCCAUUGCAUCUCACCACUGCUCGUUCACCUGCAUCUGCUUUUCUCUUCUGCUGUAUGUUUCCCUGCUUCCUCACUCCUCUUUCUUCUGCAUUGGCUCUACUCUUCUGCUCUUCUUUCUUCCCUCACUCUUUUUCCAUCUGCCCACCUCUUAGGCUCUCCCUUCUUUUCUAUCCUCCCUGCUCUUUCCUCUGCAUUCUCACUCUUCUGCUGUUCUUAUUCCCCUGCAUCAUCCUCACUCCUUUUCCCACUGCAUCAGCACUGCUCUUCUGUUGGAUUUUGUUUCCUGUUGCCAGACUUGUCUUUAUUCUGCAUCUGCACUCCUCUUCCCCUGUUCUUUCUUCUCUGUCUCCUCACUCCUCUUUCUGCUGCCUCUGCUCUCCUCUCUGCUUUUCUUUGUUCCCUGUAUUCUCACUUGUCUUUCUUCUGACUGCUCUUGAAGAGAGAGAGCAGGACCCUGCAGUUUGAGAGAGAAGGGCCUCACAGCAAGAAAGGGGAAAGCAGCUUCACAAAGUAGAAACAAGGGGCAAAUAGAGAUAGUUUAGGUAGAGAGUGUUAGAAAACAAGGGGUUCCAAGCACUUUCACAGACACUGGGUCUGGAAUAGCAAGGAGGAUGAAGGCCAUAGAGAUAAGGGCUGGAGAGCAGCUCGAAAAAACAUUUGGCAGGGAGGUGAUUAGAUGUCUACAGGGCAAGUUGAAACUGGUUUGGGGGAUGCCCCCCCUUCAGGGUCAGAAGUUUGCAGCGAGGAAGACUACGAGCCUUUGUGAGGAAGACUGCAAGCCUUCAUCAUCACGACCUACUACGCCUGCGCAAGGGGGGGAGGGACUGCAUGCUAAUGGGCUCUCGGGAAUGUAAUGAAGAUGUAUCUGAAUUCCUGUCACCUACUGAUUAUGUAUUAGUUUGACCUAUAACUGUAGCACCAUUUCUCCUGACGGGGUGCAAGUUAGGUGGAACGAUCCCCCUUGCACCAGGGUGUACGCGCGUCACCAAUAAACACAUAGAUGCUCC
rnacentral:lncRNA from 1 species